rnacentral:lncRNA from 10 species
GUUUUGGCUAGUUCCAGAUGAACUCCCACCCCCGCUCCGCCUACCAUACAGCUGGAAGUAGCUCUGUCAUCUUACUCUAGAGGCCCUCCCCUCACCUCACAUGCAAUCCACACACAUCCUUAGAAUGGGGCAGGAGGAGAAGACAAACUUCACUGGAGCUGCUUCUAUACUGUUUUCCUAACAGACUUGUGGCAGAAUAGAGCUCCUGUCGUAUGUGCACUGGGUGGACUUUUGUUUUUGUUUGCCCAGCCUUCCUUUCUUCUCUCCUUAGAUGACAGCACACUUUAUUCCUUUAGAGAAUUGCUCCUCCAUGCCUGUGUCCUAGAUUCUGAUGAGGCCUCCUUCCCUGUACCCUGCCCCAUCCCUCAGCUACAAAAAUGGGCACAUGGCCCAGGCUUGGCCAAUUAUUCCUUGGCUUUAAUGACUGGUCCUCAUGGUGGACAGGAGGCUCAAGUUGGUCCAAUCAGAGUUCUUUCAAGACGGUGAAUGCGCUCCCUUUCUUUCCUUGCAGAUCCUGAGCUGGAGCAAGAGACAGGGUCUUACUCCGUUUUCCAGGUUGGAGCGCAGUCGUGCAAUCAUGGCUCACUGCAGCCUUGAACUCCUAGGCUCAAGCGAUCCUCUUGCCUCAUCCUCUCGAGGAGCUAGGACCACAGGUAUGCGCCACCACAUCCAGCUAAUUUUUUAAAAGUUUUUUGUAGAGACAGGGUCUUGCUCUGUCACCCCAGCUGGUGUCAAGCUCCUAGUCUCUCUCAUACAUGUUUUUAUAUUUUUCUAUGUAUGUAUGCAUACUUAAACAAUACAACGUAUCAUUUUUUGCCUUUAAAAAAUUUUUAAACAAAUUAUAUUAAUAUGUGUGUCUUCUUCUAAAACUUUCUUUUUUGUACUCACCUUUAUAUCUCUGACAUUUAUGCAUGCGAUACAUCUAUUAUCAUUUAGUUACUGUAUACUACCAUUGAAUGAAUAUAUCAGAGUUCAUUUAUCCAUUCCUUUGUGAAUAGACUUUUAGGUUGUUCUAUGUUUUGCUAUUUCGAACAAUGUUACCAUGGACAUAUUUGUCCUCACCUUGUGAACACCUGUGAGAAUUUCUGGAGGCGGAAUUUUGAGGUGGGAGUACAGGCGCAUCUUCGACUUUUUAUUAAAUAUUGCCACAUUGUUUUCUAAAACAUUUGUUAUACUCUGCAAUGAAUUCAGGUUAUGGCCACAAGAUCUACACAUUCUCCUUGGUUUUUGGCUGGAGCAGCUCUCACCACCACUUGUGCUAUUGUUUUGGGGCCAGUUGGCCACUGCUGCCUCCACUGUUGCCAUGAAACAGCAGCCUGCUUGUAAGCAUAAAGUCACAGUGCUCAUGGUAGAAUAUUUGUAAAGGUGGCUGCAAUGACCCCUUUCAUUGCCAUGUGCAUGCCGCAUUACAGUAUGCCUACUCUACUCCCAUCAAGAUGUGUAUUUCCCUUCUCCUUGAAUCUGGGCUGGCCUUGUAACUUCUUUGACCAACAGAAUGUGUGGAAAUGACCUUGUGUGACUUCUGAGUCUCAGCUUCAAGACAUCUUGCAGCCUCUUGUCUCCUCAUCUUGGAAUGCAAUGCUGCCAUGUUAGAAAGCCUCCAAGAGGGUGAAUCAUCAUAUGAAGAGAAGCAACCAUGAAGGAUGACCCUAUGAUGAGAUGGUGCCAUCAGGAAGCACCAAGUGCCCAACAUGUCACUGUGGCCAUCUUGGACCAUUCAACCCCAAGUAAGCCACUAGAUGACUGCAGCCAUGUAGGUAACCCCUGGAAAGAUCAACAGAAGAACCACUAAGCUGAGCCCAGUCCAUAUUGCUCGCCUGUAGUAUUAUAAGCAAAUAAAAUGGUUGUUG